GAUGAACGCUGGCGGCGUGCCUAAUACAUGCAAGUCGAGCGAACGGACGAGAAGCUUGCUUCUCUGAUGUUAGCGGCGGACGGGUGAGUAACACGUGGAUAACCUACCUAUAAGACUGGGAUAACUUCGGGAAACCGGAGCUAAUACCGGAUAAUAUUUUGAACCGCAUUGUUCAAAAGUGAGAGACGGUCUUUCUUUCACUUAUAGAUGGAUCCGCGUUGCAUUAGCUAGUUGGUAAGGUAACUGCUUACCAAGGCAAGGAUGCAUAGCCGACCUGAGAGGGUGGUCGCACACCUUGGAAGAGAGAAAGGGUACAGACUCCUACGGGAGGACGCAGUAGAGAAUCUUCCGCAAGGGGGGAGAGCCUGACGGAGGAACGCCGCGUGAGUGAUGAAGGUCUUCGGAUCGUAAAACUAUGUUAUUAGGGAAGAACAUAUGUGUAAGUAACCGUGAACAUAUUGACGGUACCUGAUCAAGAAGCCACGGCUAACUACGUG
rnacentral:rRNA from 1 species